rnacentral:rRNA from 1 species
UACGUAGGGGGCAAGCGUUGUCCGGAUUUAUUGGGCGUAAAGAGCGUGUAGGCGGUUUGGUAGGUCCGUUGUGAAAACUCGAGGCUCAACCUCGAGACGCCGAUGGAAACCAUCAGACUAGAGUCCGGAAGAGGCGAGUGGAAUUCCUGGUGUAGCGGUGAAAUGCGCAGAUAUCAGGAGGAACACCAAUGGCGAAGGCGGCUCUCUGGGACGGUACUGACGCUGAGACGCGAAAGCGUGGGGAGCGAACAGG